rnacentral:lncRNA from 1 species
CUAUUUUAGCACUAGAAGAAAGGCCAAAACCCCUGUCAAGGAGGAAGCUGCUACACAUUUUAACUGUUCUCAGAGAAAUAUCUGUCCCAUGUGCAGUGUUAUACCACUAUAUCCUAAUCCAGUCAGGAGGAAUUAUCAAG